rnacentral:rRNA from 1 species
UACGUAGGGCGCAAGCGUUGUCCGGAAUUAUUGGGCGUAAAGAGCUCGUAGGCGGUCUGUUGCGUCCGCUGUGAAAACUCGGGGCUUAACCCCGAGCCUGCAGUGGAUACGGGCAGACUAGAGGUAGGUAGGGGAGAAUGGAAUUCCCGGUGUAGCGGUGAAAUGCGCAGAUAUCGGGAGGAACACCGGUGGCGAAGGCGGGUCUCUGGGCCGAUACUGACGCUGAGGAGCGAAAGCGUGGGGAGCGAACAGG